UAUCCAGAAUGUCAAUGCAAAAGAUGAGCCU
rnacentral:piRNA from 1 species